rnacentral:rRNA from 1 species
AACGAACGCUGGCGGCGUGGAUAAGACAUGCAAGUCGAACGGGAGUUGUUUAUAGCAAUAUGAGUGAACUCUAGUGGCGAAAGGGUGCGUAACACGUGGCUACCUACCUCGAAGUUGGGGAUAGCUCGGCGAAAGCCGGAUUAAUACCGAAUGUGACCGGAAGGUCAAAGCUGGGGAUCGUAAGACCUGGCGCUUUGAGAUGGGGCUGCGGCCUAUCAGGUAGUUGGCGGGGUAAUGGCCCACCAAGCCUAAGACGGGUAGCUGGUCUGAGAGGACGACCAGCCACACUGGAACUGAGACACGGUCCAGACACCUACGGGUGGCAGCAGUCGAGGAUUUUCNCAAUGGGGGAAACCCUGAAGGAGCGACGCCGCGUGAGGGAUGAAGGUC